CAGUAGGGCCCAAGCCAGCCAGGAAGGAGGAGGCAGCCAGAGUGGCCACCACUUUUCUUUGCAGCAGAAGACCCCCUGCUGCCAGCCACUUGCAGGUCUCUCCUUGUGGCCCACAAAAUCUCUACCCCACUUCUUUGAACUGGAAGCAGUGAAAUCAUGAUGCAGCAGAGAAAUGGUGAUUUCUGUGAUCUGUGGAGAGAGAAGAGGCUGCGGGAAGAAAUAAGCUACAGACACAGAUAAGGAGAUUUUAUUCAGCUUUAUUUGACAAGUUUUAUUACACUGAGGAAAGCAUAACGUAUCUAAUCUCAUUGGAGUUGAUGCAGCCCUUCAGCCUUUAUUACUUCAAUUCCAUUAGGUGUAAUGAUCAGGAAGUAACAGCCUUUCCUCUCCUCUGAAAAGUGAACCAGAAGUAUACCCUGUCCUGACUGACAGGCUAGGGAUCAGCGCCACUCAGCACACAGUGGGUGGGACCUAGAGAGCCAUGAGGCAGGAAGGGAAGGGUUUCUUUGUUCAGUUGAAGCCAGGCUUGACUUGCAACAGGACGCGGUAGCCAUGGAGUUGACUAUGAAAAGAACUACAGAUCCUUGAGAUACAGGACUGCAGGAUGCUUGAAUCUCAUCAAGUGAGGGGUGAGUUUUCAAGGAAAAGAGGUUCAGCCUAGGGAACAGUUUGCUAGUCAGUUUCCAUCAGAAACUUUUCUUUCUUUCAUGUGCUCUGCAUUUCCCUGCUAUUGUUCUAUGUUUGUCUAUCAGUAAUGCAACUAAGCUAAGAAACUCUAUCCUGUGCCCAACUCUGCAACUAGGGUGUUGCAAAAGUGUCUGUAAACUCUUAAAGGUGCUUUUUGUAUUUUCUUACAUCUAUGUUCUUUGCAACUGGGUAACCACAAUUUUUAAAGUGUGCCACCCCAAUAUCAUCUGAGGGUGCUUUUUGAAGUAUUCUUGUAGCUACUGAGUGUUCUUUUACCUGUAACUAAAAGCUGAUAAAGCCUCAGAUGGAAGCAGUCUGUAGUAUUUUGAAUAAAGUUUAUUUUUCUUUUUGUUCUUUGCAAUUUUAA